rnacentral:rRNA from 1 species
AGUGAACGCUGGCGGUAGGCCUAACACAUGCAAGUCGAACGGCAGCACAGGAGAGCUUGCUCUCUGGGUGGCGAGUGGCGGACGGGUGAGGAAUACAUCGGAAUCUACUCUGUCGUGGGGGAUAACGUAGGGAAACUUACGCUAACACCGCAUACGACCUACUGGUGAAAGCAGGGGACCUUCGGGCCUUGCGCGAUGGAAUGAGCCGAGUUCGGAUUAGCUAGUUGGCGGGGUAAAGGCCCACCAAGGCGACGAUCCGUAGCUGGUCUGAGAGGAUGAUCAGCCACACUGGAACUGAGACCCCGUCCAGACUCCUGCGGGAGGCAGCAGUGGGGAAUAUUGGACAAUGGGCGCAAGCCUGAUCCAGCCAUACCGCGUGGGUGAAGAAGGCCUUCGGGUUGUAAAGCCCUUUUGUUGGGAAAGAAAUCCAGCUGGCUAAUACCCGGUUGGGAUGACGGUACCCAAAGAAUAAGCACCGGCUAACUUCGUGCCAGCAGCCGCCGUAA